rnacentral:sRNA from 1 species
UCCAAGUCCCAGCGAGUCCGCGUGCAACCUGUCCUGACUCUAGCCGCCUCUUCAGCUCGCCAUGGAUCCCAACUGCUCCUGCGCCGCCGGUAAGAGGCUGGGGAUGCCCAGUGUAGACUGUAGCGCUAGAGAAGCAAUUUCUGACCCCUCUUUCUUUCUCUGGUCACUCAAUUUCAGGACAGGAGUAGCUCCUUCCCAAAGAGUUUUGGGGUAUCUUUCUCUCCAUUCUAGGUUAUUCGGAGCCCCCUUUUUACCGUUAAGGAGAUCUGAGUUAAUGGCUUGCUCAAGUUCCCAGGAAUCGGUUGUGGACAGAGGAACUCGGCCCCAGGCUCUUAGUACGCCGUCCCUCGUUCAGGUAUCCAGGGACCGUUCUCACCUCUGUCUUUUCUCCUUGCAGGUGACUCCUGCACCUGCGCCGGCUCCUGCAAAUGCAAAGAGUGCAAGUGCACCUCCUGCAAGAAAAGUAAGUGGGAUCCUCUCUUUCCUCUACCCCCUCCCUGUCCUCCAGCCUGUCCCCUCUCCACCAUCCUCGGGGGAAUUAAAGCAGUCUGGGGAUGCCCCAUUGCGCAGAAAUUGUUGCCUCCUCAGUGAUCCUUAUCAGGGAGAGCAGGAAUCCUUAUUCCCGGUGUCCCUAGUACUCAUCUCUGCCACCUCCUCUCUGCCCCCAGGCUGCUGCUCCUGCUGCCCUGUGGGCUGUGCCAAGUGUGCCCAGGGCUGCAUCUGCAAAGGGGCGUCGGACAAGUGCAGCUGCUGCGCCUGAUGCUGGGACAGCCCUGCUCCCAGAUGUAAAUAACGCGACCUCUACAAACCUGGAUUUUUAAUGUACAACCCUGACCCUGACCGUUUGCUGUAUUCCUUUUUCUAUGAAAUAAUGUGAAUGAUAAUAAAACCACUUUGACUUGA